CCUACGGGAGGCAGCAGUAGGGAAUCUUCCACAAUGGGCGAAAGCCUGAUGGAGCAACGCCGCGUGGGUGAAGAAGGUCUUCGGAUCGUAAAACCCUGUUGUUAGAGAAGAAAGUGCGGGAGAGUAACUGUUCACGUUUCGACGGUAUCUAACCAGAAAGCCACGGCUAACUACGUGCCAGCAGCCGCGGUAAUACGUAGGUGGCAAGCUUUAUCCGGAUUUAUUUGGCGUAAAGGGAACGCAGGCGGUCUUUUAAGUCUGAUGUGAAAGCCUUCGGCUUAACCGGAGUAGUGCAUCGGAAACUGGGAGACUUGAGUGCAGAAGAGGAGAGUGGAACUCCAUGUGUAGCGGUGAAAUGCGUAGAUAUAUGGAAGAACACCAGUGGCGAAGGCGGCUCUCUGGUCUGUAACUGACGCUGAGGUUCGAAAGCGUGGGUAGCAAACAGGAUUAGAUACCCCAGUAGUC
rnacentral:rRNA from 1 species